rnacentral:lncRNA from 1 species
CCGGGUCCUGGGGCCUAGCGGAGCCGGAGGAGGAAGUCCCGAGUGGGAGGCCAAAGGAAAGCCCUAAGGGAACAAGUGCAGAACAGGAUAAUCGGUUCAGCAACAAACAGAAGAAACUACUGAAGCAGCUGAAAUUUGCAGAAUGCCUAGAAAAAAAGGUGGACAUGAGCAAAGUAAAUUUGGAGGUUAUAAAGCCUUGGAUAACAAAAAGAGUAACGGAAAUCCUUGGGUUUGAAGAUGAUGUUGUGAUUGAGUUUAUAUUCAACCAGCUGGAAGUGAAGGCCUGAACCAAAAUGGAAGUUAUUCCUUGCGUCUGAAGUAUAGCACCAUCACCUUAUUAGGUCACAGCAGAGUGAGUGUCCCAAUGUCGCUCUGACCCAACUCCCUUGAUGAUGCAGUGUGUGUUUGGAGAAUCCAGACUCCAAAAUGAUGCAAAUCAACCUGACUGGAUUUUUGAAUGGAAAAAAUGCUCGAGAAUUUAUGGGAGAACUGUGGCCCCUGCUGCUAAGUGCACAAGAAAACAUCGCGGGAAUCCCUUCUGCUUUCCUAGAACUGAAGAAAGAAGAAAUAAAACAAAGACAGAUUGAACAAGAAAAACUGGCAUCUAUGAAAAAGCAAGAUGAAGACAAAGAUAAAAGAGAUAAGGAAGAAAAAGAAAGCAGCAGAGAAAAAAGGGAGCGGUCUCGUAGCCCAAGAAGACGCAAAUCCAGAUCUCCUUCCCCUAGAAGACGAUCUUCCCCUGUCAGGAGAGAGAGAAAGCGCAGUCAUUCUCGAUCUCCCCGUCACAGAACCAAGAGCCGGAGUCCUUCCCCUGCUCCAGAAAAGAAGGAAAAAACUCCAGAGCUCCCAGAACCUUCAGUGAAAGUAAAAGAACCUUCAGUACAAGAGGCUACUUCUACUAGUGACAUUCUGAAAGUUCCCAAACCUGAACCUAUACCAGAGCCUAAAGAACCUUCUCCGGAAAAAAAUUCCAAAAAAGAAAAGGAGAAGGAGAAGACCCGACCACGAUCUCGGUCACGCUCCAAAUCAAGAUCCCGGACGCGGUCCCGCUCUCCUUCUCACACUCGACCUAGACGGCGCCAUAGAUCCCGAUCAAGAUCGUAUUCACCUAGAAGGCGGCCAAGCCCAAGAAGGCGGCCAUCUCCUCGAAGAAGAACUCCGCCAAGAAGAAUGCCUCCUCCACCAAGGCACAGAAGGAGUAGAUCUCCAGUAAGACGAAGAAGACGUUCGUCAGCAUCCUUGUCUGGGAGUAGCUCAUCAUCCUCUUCAUCUCGUUCACGGUCACCACCAAAGAAGCCUCCCAAGAGGACAUCCAGCCCCCCUCGGAAAACUCGUAGGUUAUCUCCUUCAGCAAGUCCUCCAAGGCGAAGGCACAGGCCAUCACCUCCUGCAACUCCACCACCCAAAACUCGGCAUUCCCCUACACCCCAGCAGUCAAACCGUACAAGAAAAAGUCGUGUUUCUGUGUCUCCAGGGAGAACUUCAGUGACAAAACAUAAAGGUACUGAGAAAAGAGAAUCCCCUUCACCAGCACCGAAGCCUAGAAAAGUAGAGUUAUCUGAAUCGGAAGAUAAAGGUGGCAAAAUGGCUGCAGCAGAUUCUGUGCAGCAGAGACGCCAAUACAGACGACAAAACCAGCAGUCUUCAUCUGACUCUGGCUCCUCCUCCUCCUCAGAAGAUGAACGACCCAAGAGAUCCCAUGUGAAGAAUGGUGAGGUUGGCAGGCGGCGGAGACAUUCCCCUUCCCGGAGUGCUUCUCCAUCACCACGAAAGCGCCAAAAAGAGACUUCCCCUCGGAUGCAGAUGGGAAAGCGAUGGCAAUCGCCAGUGACUAAAAGUGGUAGACGGAGGAGAAGUCCAUCCCCACCACCCACCAGAAGGCGACGGUCUCCUUCUCCCGCCCCUCCUCCUCGACGGCGCAGGACUCCCACACCACCACCACGACGAAGGACUCCUUCUCCUCCCCCACGUCGGCGCUCACCUUCUCCUAGAAGAUACUCUCCUCCAAUACAGAGGAGAUACUCUCCUUCUCCACCUCCAAAGAGAAGAACGGCUUCACCUCCUCCCCCUCCUAAACGAAGAGCAUCACCAUCUCCACCACCAAAGCGGCGGGUCUCCCAUUCUCCACCUCCCAAACAAAGAAGCUCCCCAGUCACCAAGAGACGUUCACCUUCAUUAUCAUCCAAGCAUAGGAAAGGGUCUUCCCCAAGCCGCUCUACCAGGGAGGCCCGAUCACCACAACCAAACAAACGGCAUUCGCCCUCACCACGGCCUCGAGCUCCUCAGACCUCCUCAAGUCCUCCACCCGUUCGAAGAGGAGCGUCGUCAUCACCCCAAAGAAGGCAGUCCCCGUCUCCAAGUACUAGGCCCAUUAGGAGAGUCUCCAGGACUCCGGAACCUAAAAAGAUAAAAAAGGCUGCUUCCCCAAGCCCACAGUCUGUAAGGAGGGUCUCAUCCUCCCGAUCUGUCUCCGGGUCUCCUGAGCCAGCAGCUAAAAAGCCCCCAGCACCUCCAUCCCCCGUCCAGUCUCAGUCACCGUCUACAAACUGGUCACCAGCUGUACCGGUCAAAAAGGCCAAAAGCCCAACACCGAGCCCAUCACCGCCAAGAAAUUCAGAUCAGGAGGGAGGUGGAAAGAAAAAGAAGAAAAAGAAGGACAAGAAACACAAAAAGGAUAAGAAGCACAAGAAGCACAAAAAACACAAGAAGGAAAAGGCUGUGGCUGCAGCUGCUGCAGCUGCUGUGACCCCUGCAGCCAUUGCAGCUGCCACAACCACAUUAGCACAGGAAGAGCCAGUGGCAGCGCCAGAGCCGAAGAAGGAGACUGAAAGUGAAGCUGAAGAUAACCUUGAUGAUUUAGAAAAGCACCUGCGUGAAAAGGCCCUGAGAUCAAUGAGGAAGGCCCAAGUGUCCCCACAGUCUUAGGGGGAAAUGUUUGUUAUGAUGUAAAUUUUAUUUGGUUUGUACGCAGUUCAAUUUCAAAAUUGCUAAAAUGUGUUUGAGCUUUAGACUAUAACAUUUGUUGUAAUAAUUGCUAGGUUGAAGUUCAACAUGUAAAAAAAGGGGGCAUGGAUUUACAUUGCAAAAGGUGUCCACAGUGUAUUAGUGACAUUCUUUCAUUGACAGCUGACAUAAUUCAUUGAGUGAAAUAUUUUAAGCCAAAAAAAAUUCCCUUUUUAAAAAAGGGGGUUUAAAUACUGUUGGCAUUUUUAUGGUUCCUUUAAAUGCCCUGGCUAUUCCCAGAGGGGUUUUUUGUUUGUUUUUUUGGUUUUGAUUUUGUUUUUGUUUUUCUUUCUUCUUAUUUUUUUCAUUUGAGUCUUAGCUCCCAUUUAAGUUAUGCUUCUGACCUUGUAUGGUCUGUAAGCUUGCCCAGAAAUAAGACCACUGUUUUGAACUACCACAAAAGUAUAAAUGAAUAUUUUAAUGCCACAAUCUUUCCUGUUGCCUGUGGAGUCUCUGCUGAAAUGAAUCAGGAUUCGAGCUCUAGGAUGAGACAGAAAAUGAAAGCAUGUUGUUUGCCAGGACACUGUGGGUUUAUAUUGAUGUGUAACAAGUUGAUUUGGAACACUGGACUCUCAUUCUGUUCUUCUGGUUUUGUUUUUUUUGUUUUGUUUUUUUCUUUUGUAAAGGCAAUGAGCUAGUCCCAGAAAGGAUCCUUCAGUUACAUACAAUUUGUUUAAUGAAAUGUCAUGGCUCUGUUCAUAUUUUUGUCUUGUUCUUCCAAUUGGUACAUACAACUUUCAGAGCCUCUUGUAUUUGGAAGGCUGGAAGGGCGCAG